AUACGUAGGGGGCGAGCGUUGUCCGGAUUUAUUGGGUUUAAAGGGAGCGCAGGCGGAGAUGCAAGCGUGACGUCAAAUUUCGGGGCUCAACCCCGUCUCGCGUCGCGAACUGCGUCCCUUGGUUGCGGGAAGGGGAGGCGGAACUCGUGGUGUAGCGGUGAAAUGCAUAGAUAUCACGAAGAACUCCGAUCGCGAAGGCAGCCUUCCGGCCCGUCAACGACGCUCAUGCUCGAAGGUGCGGGUAUCAAACAGGAUUAGAUACCCUGGUAGUCCGUACAGUAAACGAUGGACUCCCGCGGUUUGGCCUGUAUGGCUGAGCCGCCAAGCGAAAGCGUUAAGUGUCCCACCUGGGGAGUACGCCGGCAACGGUGAAACUCAAAUGAAUUGACGGGG
rnacentral:rRNA from 1 species